AGUGAACGCUGGCGGUAGGCCUAACACAUGCAAGUCGAACGGCAGCACAGUAAGAGCUUGCUCUUACGGGUGGCGAGUGGCGGACGGGUGAGGAAUACAUCGGAAUCUACUUUUUCGUGGGGGAUAACGUAGGGAAACUUACGCUAAUACCGCAUACGACCUACGGGUGAAAGCAGGGGAUCUUCGGACCUUGCGCGAUUGAAUGAGCCGAUGUCGGAUUAGCUAGUUGGCGGGGUAAAGGCCCACCAAGGCGAGGAUCCGUAGCUGGUCUGAGAGGAUGAUCAGCCACACUGGAGCUGAGACACGGUCCAGACUACUACGGGAGGCAGCAGUGGGGAAUAUUGGACAAUGGGCGCAAGCCUGAUCCAGCCAUACCGCGUGGGUGAAGAAGGCCUUCGGGUUGUAAAGCCCUUUUGUUGGGAAAGAAAAGCAGCAGGUUAAUACCCCGCUGUUCUGACGGUACCCAAAGAAUAAGCACCGGCUAACUUCGUG
rnacentral:rRNA from 1 species